rnacentral:rRNA from 1 species
GAUGAACGCUAGCGGGAGGCCUAACACAUGCAAGCCGAGCGGUAUUGUUUCUUCGGAAAUGAGAGAGCGGCGUACGGGUGCGGAACACGUGUGCAACCUGCCUUUAUCUGGGGGAUAGCCUUUCGAAAGGAAGAUUAAUACUCCAUAAUAUAUUGAACGGCAUCGUUUAAUAUUGAAAGCUCCGGCGGAUAGAGAUGGGCACGCGCAAGAUUAGCUAGUUGGUGAGGUAACGGCUCACCAAGGCGAUGAUCUUUAGGGGGCCUGAGAGGGUGAUCCCCCACACUGGUACUGAGACACGGACCAGACUCCUACGGGAGGCAGCAGUGUGGAAUAUUGGUCAAUGGGUGCAAGCCUGAACCAGCCAUCCCGCGUGAAGGACGACUGCCCUAUGGGUUGUAAACUUCUUUUGUAUAGGGAUAAACCUACCCUCGUGAGGGUAGCUGAAGGUACUAUACGAAUAAGCACCGGCUAACUCCGUGCCAGCAGCCGCGGUAAUACGGAGGGUGCAAGCGUUAUCCGGAUUUAUUGGGUUUAAAGGGUCCGUAGGCGGACUUAUAAGUCAGUGGUGAAAGCCUGUCGCUUAACGAUAGAACUGCCAUUGAUACUGUAAGUCUAGAGUAUAUUUGAGGUAGCUGGAAUAAGUAGUGUAGCGGUGAAAUGCAUAGAUAUUACUUAGAACACCAAUUGCGAAGGCAGGUUACCAAGAUAUAACUGACGCUGAGGGACGAAAGCGUGGGGAGCGAACAGGAUUAGAUACCCUGGUAGUCCACGCCGUAAACGAUGCUAACUCGUUUUUGGGCUUUAGGGUUCAGAGACCAGGCGAAAGUGAUAAGUUAGCCACCUGGGGAGUACGCUCGCAAGAGUGAAAACUCAAAGGAAUUGACGGGGGCCCGCACAAGCGGUGGAUUAUGUGGUUUAAUUCGAUGAUACGCGAGGAACCUUACCAAGACUUAAAUGGGAAUUGACAGCUUUAGAAAUAGAGCUUUCUUCGGACAAUUUUCAAGGUGCUGCAUGGUUGUCGUCAGCUCGUGCCGUGAGGUGUUAGGUUAAGUCCUGCAACGAGCGCAACCCCUGUCACUAGUUGCCAUCAUUCAGUUGGGGACUCUAGUGAGACUGCCUACGCAAGUAGAGAGGAAGGUGGGGAUGACGUCAAAUCAUCACGGCCCUUACGUCUUGGGCCACACACGUAAUACAAUGGCCGGUACAGAGGGCAGCUACACAGCGAUGUGAUGCAAAUCUCGAAAGCCGGUCUCAGUUCGGAUUGGAGUCUGCAACUCGACUCUAUGAAGCUGGAAUCGCUAGUAAUCGCGCAUCAGCCAUGGCGCGGUGAAUACGUUCCCGGGCCU